rnacentral:rRNA from 1 species
UAGGCGACCGGGUGAGUAACACGUGACUAACCUACCUUCAAGUGGGGGAUAACCUCGGGAAACCGGGGCUAAUACCGCAUAACAUCUUUGAGAUGGAAAUUCUGAAGAUCAAAGGAGCAAUUCGCUGGAAGAGGGGGUCGCGGCUGAUUAGCUAGUUGGCGGGGUAAUGGCCCACCAAGGCUUUGAUCGGUAGCCGGCCUGAGAGGGCGCACGGCCACACUGGAACUGAAACACGGUCCAG